GACGAACGCUGGCGGCGUGCUUAACACAUGCAAGUCGAACGGAAAGGCCCCUUUGGGGGUACUCGAGUGGCGAACGGGUGAGUAACACGUGAGUAACCUGCCCUUGACUUCGGGAUAACUUCAGGAAACUGGGGCUAAUACCGGAUAGGAAUCCUUGCUGCAUGGUGGGGGUUGGAAAGCUUCGGCGGUUUUGGAUGGACUCGCGGCUUAUCAGCUUGUUGGUGGGGUAGUGGCUUACCAAGGCUUUGACGGGUAGCCGGCCUGAGAGGGCGACCGGCCACAUUGGGACUGUGAUACGGCCCAGACUCCUACGGGAGGCAGCAGUGGGGAAUAUUGCACAAUGGGCGGAAGCCUGAUGCAGCAACGCCGCGUGCGGGAUGACGGCCUUCGGGUUGUAAACCGCUUUCAGCAGGGGCGAAGCUUGUGGUGACGGUACCUGCAGAAGAAGCACCGGCUAACUACGUG
rnacentral:rRNA from 1 species